ensembl:lncRNA
GAGGUAGAGAUAGAGGGGUAGAGAAAGAAACAGAGUGAAUGUAAUGCAAUAAUGAUAUAUAUAGUAAAUACAUAGGUAGUUAGAGAAGGGCUCAGUGCAUCCAGAGAGGUUCCCCAGCAGCCUAGGCCUAUAGCAGCAUAACUAGGGGCAAACUAAAGGGACGUCAAGAGGGGAAGUCAGUUGUGCAAAUGAAAACACCAGCUCACCCCGUCAGGGUCACCCAGUCAGCCCUAACUAUAAGCUUUGUCGAAAAGGAAGGUUUUAAUCCUGGUCUUAAAAAUAGAGAGGGUGUCCGCCUCCCGAACCCAAACUGGGAGCUGGUUCCACAGGAGAGGUGCCUGAUAACUGAAGGCUCUGCCUCCCAUUCUACUUUUAGAGAUUCUAGGAACAACAAGUAAGCCUGCAGUCUGAAAGCGAAGAGUUCUGCUAGGGUAAUAUGGUACUAUCAGGUCUUUAAGAUAUGAUGGAGAUUGGUUGUUAAGAGCUUUAUAUGUCAGAAGAAGGAUUUUGAAUUCUAUUCUAGAUUUAACAGGAAGCCAAUGAAGAGAAA